CUGAGCUGGCGAUGAGGGAUGAACCAGACUUUGGGAUUUUGGACCUACCUUUCCUCUACUGACACCCAUAAAGGGUGAUGAUUGAUAUAGCCAGCAGGACGGUGGCCAUGGAAGUCAGAACCCGGUAAGGAGUGUGUAACAAAUCACAUGCCGAAUCAAUCAGCGCCGAAAAUGGAAGGCGCUUGAGCGGGGGACAUAAGCCCAACCGUUGUUGGCUGGUACGAGUCGUGCGUCAGGCCUCAAAGCGUAGGAUGUCGCGGCGGUUAGAGUGGAAGGUUUAGGUAUUUCGAACUCUAGCUCAGUG
rfam:Pristionchus pacificus strain PS312 contig11600, whole genome shotgun sequence.